rnacentral:rRNA from 1 species
CCUACGGGAGGCAGCAGUGGGGAAUAUUGGACAAUGGGCGAAAGCCUGAUCCAGCCAUGCCGCGUGUGUGAAGAAGGUCUUCGGAUUGUAAAGCACUUUAAGUUGGGAGGAAGGGUAGUAACUUAAUACGUUGCUACUUUGACGUUACCGACAGAAUAAGCACCGGCUAACUUCGUGCCAGCAGCCGCGGUAAUACGAAGGGUGCAAGCGUUAAUCGGAAUUACUGGGCGUAAAGCGCGCGUAGGUGGUUCAGUAAGUUGGAAGUGAAAUCCCCGGGCUCAACCUGGGAACUGCUUUCAAAACUGCUGAGCUAGAGUACGGUAGAGGGUGGUGGAAUUUCCUGUGUAGCGGUGAAAUGCGUAGAUAUAGGAAGGAACACCAGUGGCGAAGGCGACCACCUGGACUGAUACUGACACUGAGGUGCGAAAGCGUGGGGAGCA